rnacentral:rRNA from 1 species
GAUGAACGCUGGCGGCGUGCCUAAUACAUGCAAGUCGAGCGAACGGACGAGAAGCUUGCUUCUCUGAUGUUAGCGGCGGACGGGUGAGUAACACGUGGAUAACCUACCUAUAAGACUGGGAUAACUUCGGGAAACCGGAGCUAAUACCGGAUAAUAUUUUGAACCGCAUGGUUCAAAAGUGAAAGACGGUCUUGCUGUCACUUAUUGAUGGAUCCGCGCUGCAUUAGCUAGUUGGUAAGGUAACGGCUUACCAAGGCAACGAUGCAUAGCCGACCUGAGAGGGUGAUCGGCCACACUGGAACUGAGACACGGUCCAGACUCCUACGGGAGGCAGCAGUAGGGAAUCUUCCGCAAUGGGCGAAAGCCUGACGGAGCAACGCCGCGUGAGUGAUGAAGGUCUUCGGAUCGUAAAACUCUGUUAUUAGGGAAGAACAUAUGUGUAAGUAACUGUGCACAUCUUGACGGUACCUAAUCAGAAAGCCACGGCUAACUACGUGCCAGCAGCCGCGGUAAUACGUAGGUGGCAAGCGUUAUCCGGAAUUAUUGGGCGUAAAGCGCGCGUAGGCGGUUUUUUAAGUCUGAUGUGAAAGCCCACGGCUCAACCGUGGAGGGUCAUUGGAAACUGGAAAACUUGAGUGCAGAAGAGGAAAGUGGAAUUCCAUGUGUAGCGGUGAAAUGCGCAGAGAUAUGGAGGAACACCAGUGGCGAAGGCGACUUUCUGGUCUGUAACUGACGCUGAUGUGCGAAAGCGUGGGGAUCAAACAGGAUUAGAUACCCUGGUAGUCCACGCCGUAAACGAUGAGUGCUAAGUGUUAGGGGGUUUCCGCCCCUUAGUGCUGCAGCUAACGCAUUAAGCACUCCGCCUGGGGAGUACGACCGCAAGGUUGAAACUCAAAGGAAUUGACGGGGACCCGCACAAGCGGUGGAGCAUGUGGUUUAAUUCGAAGCAACGUGAAGAACCUUACCAAAUCUUGACAUCCUUUGACAACUCUAGAGAUAGAGCUUUCCCCUUCGGGGGACAAAGUGACAGGUGGUGCAUGGUUGUCGUCAGCUCGUGUCGUGAGAUGUUGGGUUAAGUCCCGCAACGAGCGCAACCCUUAAGCUUAGUUGCCAUCAUUAAGUUGGGCACUCUAAGUUGACUGCCGGUGACAAACCGGAGGAAGGUGGGGAUGACGUCAAAUCAUCAUGCCCCUUAUGAUUUGGGCUACACACGUGCUACAAUGGACAAUACAAAGGGCAGCGAAACCGUGAGGUCAAGCAAAUCCCAUAAAGUUGUUCUCAGUUCGGAUUGUAGUCUGCAACUCGACUACAUGAAGCUGGAAUCGCUAGUAAUCGUAGAUCAGCAUGCUACGGUGAAUACGUUCCCGGGUC